rnacentral:misc_RNA from 1 species
UACGGAGGGUGCAAACGUUGCUCGGAAUCAUUGGGCGUAAAGCGCACGUAGGCGGCUGUGUAAGUUGGGUGUGAAAGCCCAGGGCUCAACCCUGGAAGUGCACCCAAAACUACAUGGCUUGAGUCCCGGAGGGGCCCAGAGAAUUCUCGGUGUAGAGGUGAAAUUCGUAGAUAUCGGGAGGAAUACCAGUGGCGAAGGCGCUGGGCUGGACGGGAACUGACGCUGAGGUGCGAAAGCGUGGGGAGCAAACAGG